rnacentral:rRNA from 1 species
GACGAACCGUACGAACGUUAUUCGGAAUCACUGGGCUUAAAGGGUGCGUAGGCGGCGCGACAAGUUGGGUGUGAAAUCCCUCGGCUCAACCGAGGAACUGCGCCCAAAACUGUCGUGCUCGAGGGAGACAGAGGUGAGCGGAACUUAGGGUGGAGCGGUGAAAUGCAUUGAGAUCGGAAAGAACACCAACGGCGAAAGCACUCUGCUGGGUCGGCACUGACACUGAGAGACGAAAGCUAGGGGAGCAAAUGGG